UACGCAGGGUGCGAGCGUUGUCCGGAAUUAUUGGGCGUAAAGAGCUCGUAGGCGGUCUGUCGCGUCGAAUGUGAAAACCCGGGGCUCAACUCCGGGCUUGCAUUCGAUACGGGCAGGCUAGAGUUCGGUAGGGGAGUCUGGAAUUCCUGGUGUAGCGGUGAAAUGCGUAGAUAUCGGGAGGAACACCAGUGGCGAAGGCGGCCUUCUGGGCCUAUCCUGACGCUGAGGAGCGAAAGCGUGGGGAGCAAACCGG
rnacentral:rRNA from 1 species